rnacentral:rRNA from 1 species
UACGGGGGGGGCAAGCGUUGUUCGGAAUUACUGGGCGUAAAGGGCGCGUAGGCGGCCUUCUAAGUCGAACGUGAAAUCCCCGGGCUCAACCCGGGAACUGCGUCCGAUACUGGAGGGCUUGAAUCCGGGAGAGGGAUGCGGAAUUCCAGGUGUAGCGGUGAAAUGCGUAGAUAUCUGGAGGAACACCGGUGGCGAAGGCGGGUCUCUGGGCCGGAACUGACGCUAAGGAGCGAAAGCGUGGGGAGCGAACAGG